rnacentral:rRNA from 1 species
UUAAAUUGAAGAGUUUGAUCAUGGCUCAGAUUGAACGCUGGCGGCAGGCCUAACACAUGCAAGUCGAACGGUAACAGAAAGCAGCUUGCUGCUUUGCUGACGAGUGGCGGACGGGUGAGUAAUGUCUGGGAAACUGCCUGAUGGAGGGGGAUAACUACUGGAAACGGUAGCUAAUACCGCAUAACGUCGCAAGACCAAAGAGGGGUACC